AUAAACAUAUUUAAUGCUUUUUUAAAAGUUAGAAGCUUUUUGUAUUAUUUCUUU
rnacentral:tRNA from 1 species